AUUGAACGCUGGCGGCAUGCCUUACACAUGCAAGUCGAACGGCAGCACGGGAGCAAUCCUGGUGGCGAGUGGCGAACGGGUGAGUAAUAUAUCGGAACGUGCCCAGUCGUGGGGGAUAACGCAGCGAAAGCUGUGCUAAUACCGCAUACGAUCUAUGGAUGAAAGCGGGGGAUCGCAAGACCUCGCGCGAUUGGAGCGGCCGAUAUCAGAUUAGGUAGUUGGUGGGGUAAAGGCCCACCAAGCCAACGAUCUGUAGCUGGUCUGAGAGGACGACCAGCCACACUGGAACUGAGACACGGUCCAGACUCCUACGGGAGGCAGCAGUGGGGGAUUUUGGACAAUGGGCGAAAGCCUGAUCCAGCGACGCCGCGUGGAGGACGAAGCCCUUCGGGGUGUAAACUCCUUUUCUCAGGGAAAAGGAUGAUGGUACCUGAGGAAUAAGCCCCGGCUAACUACGUGACCAGCAGCCGCGGUAAGGAGUAGUACA
rnacentral:rRNA from 1 species